rnacentral:rRNA from 1 species
AUUGAACGCUGGCGGCAGGCUUAACACAUGCAAGUCGAGCGGAGAUGAGGUGCUUGCACCUUAUCUUAGCGGCGGACGGGUGAGUAAUGCUUAGGAAUCUGCCUAUUAGUGGGGGACAACAUUCCGAAAGGAAUGCUAACACCGCAUACGUCCUACGGGAGAAAGCAGGGGAUCUUCGGACCUUGCGCUAAUAGAUGAGCCUAAGUCGGAUUAGCUAGUUGGUGGGGUGAAGGCCUACCAAGGCGACGAUCUGUAGCGGGUCUGAGAGGAUGAGCCGCCAAACUGGGAAUGAGACACGGCACAGACUCCUACGGGAGGCAGGAGUGGGGAAUAUUGGACAAUGGGGGGAACCCUGAUCCAGCCAUGCCGCGUGUGUGAAGAAGGCCUUAUGGUUGUAAAGCACUUUAAGCGAGGAGGAGGCUACUGAGACUAAUACUCUUGGAUAGUGGACGUUACUCGCAGAAUAAGCACCGGCUAACUCUGUGCCAGCCGCCGCAGUAAGAC